UACAGAGGUCUCAAGCGUUGUUCGGAUUCAUUGGGCGUAAAGGGUGCGUAGGCGGCGCGGUAAGUCGGGUGUGAAAUCUCGGGGCUUAACUCCGAAACUGCAUUCGAUACUGCCGUGCUUGAGGACUGGAGAGGAGACUGGAAUUUACGGUGUAGCGGUGAAAUGCGUAGAUAUCGUAAGGAAGACCAGUGGCGAAGGCGGGUCUCUGGACAGUGCCUGACGCUGAGGCACGAAGGCCAGGGGAGCAAACGGG
rnacentral:rRNA from 1 species